rnacentral:rRNA from 1 species
GAUGAACGCUGGCGGCGUGCCUAAUACAUGCAAGUCGAGCGAACGGAUGCGACUCUUGCUUCUUUGUUGUUAGCCGCGCACGUGUGAGUAACACGUGGAUAACCCACUUAUCAUUCUGGUAUAACUUCGGGAAACCGGAGCUAAUCCCGGAUAAUCUUUUGCACCGCAUGGUUCAAUAGUGAAAGACGGUCUUGCUGUCUCUUCUCGCUGGAUCCGCGCUGCAUUAGCUAGUUGGUAAGGUAACGGCCUACCAAGGCAACGAUGCGUAGCCGACGUGUGAGAGUGGUAGGCCACACGGGAGCUGGGACGCGGACAAGGGGACUAAGAGAGGCAGCAGUAGGGAAUCGGCGGCAGUGGGCGAGAGCAUGGCAGAACGACGGCGAGUGAGAGAUGAAGGUCUUCGGAUCGUGAAAAUCGGUUAUUAGGUGAGAACAUAUGUGUAAGUAGAUGUGCACAUCGUGACGGUAACUAAUCAGAAAGCAACGGCUAACUACGUG